UGGGGAAUAUUGGACAAUGGGCGAAAGCCUGAUCCAGCCAUGCCGCGUGAGUGAUGAAGGCCUUAGGGUUGUAAAGCUCUUUCGCCCACGACGAUAAUGACGGUAGUGGGAGAAGAAGCCCCGGCUAACUUCGUGCCAGCAGCCGCGGUAAUACGAAGGGGGCUAGCGUUGUUCGGAAUUACUGGGCGUAAAGCGCGUGUAGGCGGGUCCUUAAGUCAGGGGUGAAAUGCCAAGGCUCAACCUUGGAACUGCCUUUGAUACUGGGGAUCUUGAGUCCGGGAGAGGUGAGUGGAACUGCGAGUGUAGAGGUGAAAUUCGUAGAUAUUCGCAAGAACACCAGUGGCGAAGGCGGCUCACUGGCCCGGAACUGACGCUGAGACGCGAAAGCGUGGGGAGCAAACA
rnacentral:rRNA from 1 species